AUCCAGCUGACGAGUGCCAAAUAGAACAGAACGCGCGUCCUUGAU
rfam:Schistosoma haematobium scaffold1034_3, whole genome shotgun sequence.